GAUGAACGCUGGCGGCGUGCUUAAGACAUGCAAGUCGAACGGAGUGUGUAGCAAUACUCACUAAGUGGCGAAUGGGUGAGUAACACGUAGGUGACCUGCCCUGAAGUGCGGAAUAACAGUCCGAAAGGACUGCUAAUACCGCAUGUGGUCCCGGGCGUUAGAGAACCGGGUCUAAAGCAGUAAUGCGCUUCAGGAGGGGCCUGCGGUCCAUCAGCUAGUUGGUAGGGAAUGGCCUACCAAGGCAACGACGGAUAGGGGACCUGAGAGGGUGG
rnacentral:rRNA from 1 species